rnacentral:lncRNA from 1 species
UGUUGUGCAGAUUCUUAAGAUGUGGAUACUUGAGAACACCAACAACCUGCACCAAAGAAGAUGGCACUAGGAUUUUGCUUGAUCUCUACCUAGGACGAUGUGCAAACCAGAGAGAGAUGAAGAAUUUUGGGAGAAAAGCUUUGUAUUGGUUCCUGUCCCAUAAUAUAUUAUAAUACAUGGUUUAUAUAUCUUAAAAUUUAUACACAAAUCCUAAUAAACCCUAGCUGAAAAACUUUACUGGCUAAAUCUAAUUACAUGAAAGCACUCACCUGAGCCUAUGUACACCCAUGUCUCAUAUGCUCUCACUCUUGAACUUAAUCCCAGUCUAAACCCUUGAGUUAGCCAUUUUAAGACCUAACAAAUCAGGUCUUAAGAUCCUAGGAUCAAAAUCCGAUCCCAGAC